UUGAACGCUGGCGGCAUGCCUUACACAUGCAAGUCGAACGGCAGCACGGGGGCGACCCUGGUGGCGAGUGGCGAACGGGUGAGUAACGCAUCGGAACGUACCCGGAAGUGGGGGAUAACGUAGCGAAAGUUACGCUAAUACCGCAUAUUCUGUGAGCAGGAAAGAGGGGGAUCGCAAGACCUCUCGCUUCCGGAGCGGCCGAUGUCGGAUUAGCUAGUUGGCGGGGUAAAAGCUUACCAAGCCGACGAUCUGUAGCUGGUCUGAGAGGACGACCAGCCACACUGGGACUGAGACACGGCCCAGACUCCUACGGGAGGCAGCAGUGGGGAAUUUUGGACAAUGGGCGCAAGCCUGAUCCAGCCAUGCCGCGUGCAGGAUGAAGGCCUUCGGGUUGUAAACUGCUUUUGUACGGAACGAAAAGACUCCUUCUAAUAAAGGGGGUCCAUGACGGUACCGUAAGAAUAAGCACCGGCUAACUACGU
rnacentral:rRNA from 1 species